rnacentral:rRNA from 1 species
AGUGAACGCUGGCGGUAGGCCUAACACAUGCAAGUCGAACGGCAGCACAGUAAGAGCUUGCUCUUACGGGUGGCGAGUGGCGGACGGGUGAGGAAUACAUCGGAAUCUACUUUUUCGUGGGGGAUAACGUAGGGAAACUUACGCUAAUACCGCAUACGACCUACGGGUGAAAGCAGGGGAGCUUCGGACCUUUCGCGAUUGAAUGAGCCGAUGUCGGAUUAGCUAGUUGGCGAGGUAAAGGCCCACCAAGGCGACGAUCCGUAGCUGGUCUGAGAGGAUGAUCAGCCACACUGGAACUGAGACACGGUCCAGACUCCUACGGGAGGCAGCAGUGGGGAAUAUUGGACAAUGGGCGAAAGCCUGAUCCAGCCAUACCGCGUGGGUGAAGAAGGCCUUCGGGUUGUAAAGCCCUUUUGUUGGGAAAGAAAAGCAGCAGGUUAAUACCCCGCUGUUCUGACGGUACCCAAAGAAUAAGCACCGGCUAACUUCGUG